rnacentral:rRNA from 1 species
AGCGAACGCUGGCGGCAGGCUUAACACAUGCAAGUCGAGCGGGCAUCCUUGUGGUGUCAGCGGCAGACGGGUGAGUAACGCGUGGGAACGUGCCCUUCGGUUCGGAAUAACUCAGGGAAACUUGAGCUAAUACCGGAUACGUGCGAGAGCAGAAAGGUUUAUCUGCCGAAGGAUCGGCCCGCGUCUGAUUAGCUAGUUGGUGAGGUUAUGACUCACCAAGGCGACGAUCAGUAGCUGGUCUGAGAGGAUGAUCAGCCGCACUGGGACUGAGACACGGCCCAGACUCCUACGGGAGGCAGCAGUGGGGAAUAUUGGACAAUGGGGGCAACCCUGAUCCAGCCAUGCCGCGUGAGUGAUGACGGCCUUAGGGUUGUAAAGCUCUUUUCUCCGGGACGAUAAUGGCGGUACCGGAGGAAUAAGCCCCGGCUAACUUCGUG